rnacentral:rRNA from 1 species
UACGAAGGGGGCUAGCGUUGCUCGGAAUUACUGGGCGUAAAGCGCACGUAGGCGGAUUGGUCAGUUAGGGGUGAAAUCCUGGAGCUCAACUCCAGAACUGCCUUUAAUACUGCCAAUCUCGAGUCCGGAAGAGGUGAGUGGAACUCCUAGUGUAGAGGUGGAAUUCGUAGAUAUUAGGAAGAACACCAGUGGCGAAGGCGGCUCACUGGUCCGGUACUGACGCUGAGGUGCGAAAGCGUGGGGAGCAAACAGG